UCUUAUGUACAUUCUUAUAGCAUUAAUCCCAUUAGAACUUCGCAGUUAGGCACGCUUGGGCUAGAGUAGUAUUGGGAUGGGUGAUCGUCUAGGAAGUCCUAGUGUUUUACAUGCU
rfam:Picea glauca, whole genome shotgun sequence.